CUGCAGCUAAUUGAGCUAACGGAGUCCCUUUCCUCAUGGGGGCCCAGUGUGCAAUAGCUGCAAACAGCAGCUUCCUUGGUAAUGUAUGCAGCCUGUUUCUUGUAUGGGUUGCUCUAAGGGACCUUGGAGACAGGC
rnacentral:snoRNA from 1 species